AUGGGAGAUAUAUUUCGUGUUGAAAAUGUGUCAAAAAAAAAAACAAAAACAUUUCAAAAUUCCAUAAAAUCCUCUUUUACGGUAAGAAUUUCAUCCCCCAAGUCAUACAUGAAUCAUGGUAUCCAGUGAUGAAAUCCUCAAAUUUUUUUUGUUUUUUUUUUAUUUUUUUCUCAAGCUUCAGGAUUCAACUUCCUUGUACAAGUUUUCAUUGAAAACAACCCCACCUGAGAUAAAAACAAAAAACACUCAAAGAAACAAGUAGUGACAAUCAAGAACUCAACAAAAAGUAAAAAAAAAAAAAAACUUUCAUGAAUCUUCUUCUGAUGAAAGACACAACAACAAGAAAAACCCUGCAAUUUAAUCCCCGCAAUAAACAAAGAAAAAAACUUGUUCAACAAAACAAUAAAAUUAAAUUGGCCUAAAAGAAAAUCUUAUAAAGGAGAAAAUUCAUCCUGCAACAACUCUAAGCAAAGACAUACAAAAAAAAACUAACUAAAAAAAAAAGAGACACAAAAUGUCACGGUGAAAAAGAAUGGAAUCAUAAUUCAUAUCCUUGACACUUGAAACUCCGUUCUGUCUCAAAAUCAUCUCUCACUUCAAACAAGAAAAAAAAAAUAACAAAAAAAAAAACUUUUAAAAAAAAUCAACCUCCAGCUGACUUCGUUCGACUGAAUCCUGGAUUCAACAACACAAUCAAGCAAGAAAAAUCCACUCGCUGAUGCUGCUGCUUUAGCUUUAUCCUUGUGCUUCUUCUCUCCUUCAUACAAUAAAAUAUCUGUGUGAUAUCCCCAGGGCGGAUAUAAGACUCGACUCGAGACACCGUGUACCUAGUACCUACCUCUGCUGCAGAUGAUGACGAUGACGAGGAUGAUGAUAGUGAUGUUAUAUAGGCGCAUUGCACUUAUAAUACUCUCAAACUUGCAUAGUAAUACGCUGUAUAUACAACAGGGCCACAAGAGGAGAAGAAGAAUAUACUUUAAGGACAAUACCGCAGAGUUAACCCCGCGACAACUCAUCCCCCUUUUUGAAUAAUUCAAAAUAAAAACUUUAUCCAACGGAUUUGCCUGCCCCCUCCCCUUUUUUUUGAAGCUCUCCAUGACAGAAAAAGCAAAAAUACAUAAAAGACACACCAAGGACCUACGCGAGACUAAUGCGGAUUGCGAUUGCGGCAACCUCUUGUUCAGCAGAUGAUGAUGGGCUGUCUUCUCUUCUGUAUAAUGACGAGUUCACUUGUUUCCGUUAGCCCCAAGAGCGUGUUGUACAACUUAUACCACACACUAAAAUGACGACAAAACACAAAAAAAAAACAGUUUUUGUACUUACAUUAAAUUUCUUGUAGUGCUCCAGUGUGGUAUCCUUUUUGAUGUCCUGUGUGUUGAUUCCGCCGGCAACACUUCAAAUCCGAACAUUAAAUUUCCAUAACGUUUUGAAUAUUUGACGAUUGACUAAUAACUGUCAACAUUGGCUUUCCAAC